GAUGAACGCUGGCGGCGUGCCUAAUACAUGCGAGUCGAGCGAACAGACGAGGAGCUUGCUCCUCUGACGUUAGCGGCGGACGGGUGAGUAACACGUGGAUAACCUACCUAUAAGACUGGGAUAACUUCGGGAAACCGGAGCUAAUACCGGAUAAUAUAUUGAACCGCAUGGUUCAAUAGUGAAAGACGGUUUUGCUGUCACUUAUAGAUGGAUCCGCGCCGCAUUAGCUAGUUGGUAAGGUAACGGCUUACCAAGGCAACGAUGCGUAGCCGACCUGAGAGGGUGAUCGGCCACACUGGAACUGAGACACGGUCCAGACUCCUACGGGAGGCAGCAGUAGGGAAUCUUCCGCAAUGGGCGAAAGCCUGACGGAGCAACGCCGCGUGAGUGAUGAAGGUCUUCGGAUCGUAAAACUCUGUUAUUAGGGAAGAACAAAUGUGUAAGUAACUAUGCACGUCUUGACGGUACCUAAUCAGAAGGCCACGGCUAACUACGUG
rnacentral:rRNA from 1 species